rnacentral:rRNA from 1 species
AUGAAUGAUGCUCUACUUGCCCCUUAUAUCGCGGAAGAUGUUCGCAAGGCUUUAUUCGAUAUUGGGGACUUGAAAGCUCCAGGGCCAGAUAGACUCCAUGCUAUCUUCUAUAAAAGGUUUUGGCCCAUGCUGGGAGAAGACUUAAUUGAGGAGGUUCUGACAUCAAUCAACACAUGCACUAUACCGAAGGGUUGGAAUGCUACGGCGAUCAUGAUGAUUCCUAAAAUUAAUACACCAGAGAAGAUAACCCAAUUUAGGCCUAUCAGCUUACGUAAUGUGCUAUAUAAAAUAAUUGCAAAAAUGGUGGCUUCUCGAUCGAAGGUUUUAUUACCAGAAAUUAUUAGCCCAACACAGAAUGCAUUUGUACCGGGUAGAUUGAUAACGGAUAAUAUUUUAAUGGCCUACGAAUGUUUUCACACAAUCAAGAACAAAAGAGAGGGUAGAGAGGGCUUGUGUGCUAUAAAACUUGAUAUGCAUAAAGCCUACGAUAGAAAUGAGUGGACUUUUUUGAAGGAGAUUAUGUUGAAAUUGGGCACUCGUGAGUGGGUUAACUUGAUUAUGCAAUGCGUCUCAACCGUAGAAUACAAAGUAAGGAUCAAUGAAUAGGAAAGUGAGAGUUUUAAGCCUACGAGAGGGUUGAGACAGGGGGACCCGCUAUCACCAUACCUUUUUUGCUGUGCAAAAGGAUUGAAUGCCUUGCUUGCGCAUGCUGAGGAGAAUGAAAACAUAUCAGGAGUUAAAGUCUGUAGAGACGCCCCACCAGUCACAAAUCUUGUUUUUGCGGAUGACUCAUUAAUCUUAAUGAAAGCCAACCAACAUAAUGCGGAAAACCUGAAAUCAGUACUAGAUUUAUAUUGUGCGGCGUUAGGAUAGCUGGUAAGCCUUGAAAAAUCCAGUAUUUUCUUCAGCCCUAAUACAGGUAGAGAUCAGAGAACAAUUGUGUACAACGCUAAAUAUAAUGACGGAGCUCUCAUUGAUAAAUAUUUUGGCUUACCAGCAAAUGUGGGUGUUGAUAAAACAAACUGCUUUAGUUUUCUGAUUGAACGUAUUGUUAGGAGAAUUAGUGGUUGGAAGGAAAAGUUACUAUCUGUCGAGGGGAAGGAGAUCCUAUGAAAGGCGGUGAUCCAAGCCAUACCUACCUAUGCAUUGUCGGUCUUUAAAAUUCCUAAGAGAAUUGUAAAGGAAACUGACUCGAUGGCGAAUUUCUGGUGGAGGGACGAGGAGAACCAGAAGAGGAUGCACUAG